rnacentral:lncRNA from 1 species
AAUGGUCAUAUGAUAGCACUAAUUAUGAAUGGUUGUGUUUGUGAUGAAUAAUAGUCCUAUUUUACUGUGUCUACUGUGAGAAAUGUAUAGUAAUAUCUCAAGAUUUUAUCAUAGCAAUUUAAUUAAAAUAUAUAUAUCAGCUGCUAGGCAGCAAAAAUGGUUGUUGGUUUAAAUUUUUUGUUUUAUCAAGGCAAUAUUUGUUAGUAUCUUCCAUUCCCUAAACUAAUAG